rnacentral:lncRNA from 1 species
AUGGCCCGGAACAACUUAUUUCCCCUCCUUUCCAAGAGGGUGUUUGAAGGGGCUUCCUCCCUCCACGGACCCCACGCCGCGCGGCGGGCGCACAGCCAGGCGGCGUCCCGCGCGCGGUCCCCACCCCGCGCCCCCAGCCAGCCCAGCGCACCGCACCGGGAGAGGGACAAAGAGUUGGCCAAGUUUGGGCUCCAAGGCGCAGCCAGGCGCGGGGAAGGGAGGACCCGGGGCAGACACCUGGGGUGCUCAAGAGCUGCACCUCUGUGUAGCACUUUGCGCAGAGGGAAGAGACAGAGCGAGGGAACGAGGAAAGAGGAGGAAAAAAAGAAAGAAAAAAAAAAAGAAAAAUUAAAAAGCGCCAGGCAGAAGAGGCGGCGAGAAGCAUGAAGUGUUAAGUCCCCGGUGCCAAGGCCCGCGCCGCCCGGACAGCGCCCGCCGCGCGCCCCGCCCGCCCGAGCUCUCC